AGUGAACGCUGGCGGUAGGCCUAACACAUGCAAGUCGAACGGCAGCACAGUAAGAGCUUGCUCUUACGGGUGGCGAGUGGCGGACGGGUGAGGAAUACAUCGAAAUCUACUUUUUCGUGGGGGAUAACGUAGGGAAACUUACGCUAAUACCGCAUACGACCUACGGGUGAAAGCAGGGGAUCUUCGGACCUUGCGCGAUUGAAUGAGCCGAUGUCGGAUUAGCUAGUUGGCGGGGUAAAGGCCCACCAAGGCGACGAUCCGUAGCUGGUCUGAGAGGAUGAUCAGCCACACUGGAACUGAGACACGGUCCAGACUCCUACGGGAGGCAGCAGUGGGGAAUAUUGGACAAUGGGCGCAAGCCUGAUCCAGCCAUACCGCGUGGGAGAAGAAGGCCUUCGGGUUGUAAAGCCCUUUUGUUGGGAAAGAAAAGCAGCAGGUUAAUACCCCGCUGUUCUGACGGUACCCAAAGAAUAAGCACCGGCUAACUUCGUG
rnacentral:rRNA from 1 species